AUGCCCGCGGCUCCAGAGGAAGAAGCCCAGGGACGGGCCUCCCUUGUGGGGGGUCGGCUUCUUCUUGGGAACUUGGUCGUUUCCGGCGCUGGCUGGCUGGCUGGAUGUAAAGCACUGAAGCCCCCCCAGGCCGCCAACCCCUCAAAGCAGAACCGGACCUCCGUGGCCCCGGCAGCCUUGCCCACCGCUCCACGUGUCCUGGGCUCUUCCUGCCCCUUUCUCUUCGGCCUUGUGGUUGCUGCGUCGGGCACGCUUGGAGGCUGGCCUGCCAGGAGCUUCCACCCUGGGGCCUGUGUCAGCCACUGGCCCUCCACACCCCGGAAGCAUACGACCUCUGGGAAAGACAGCCCUGACCUUCGGUUUUCCAAGCACGGUGUUCCCCAAGAAUUCUGGGCUGGCGGCCUGGUGGCAGUGCCUGAGAUGGCCCCGAGCCCCUCCCCAUGGGGCACCCAGGAGGGCCCUGCCAGAGUGUGCAGCCUGUGGGUAGUCGGCUGGUGUCCCUGUCGUGGAGUUGGGGCGCGUGACCUGGUGCCCGUCCACGCGGGUGUGCGGUGUAAACAUGUAUGUGCUGUACAGAGAGAUGCGUGUGGAGAGCCGCACGCGAGUGCCACGCAGGAGAGGCGGAGCGGUUACCAGUGUUUUGUGUUUAUUUUUAAUCAAGACAUUUCCCCUGUUUUCCUAUAAAUUUGCUUCGUGUAAGCAAGUACAUAAGGACCCUCCUUUGGUGAAAUCCGGGUUCGAAUGAAUAUCUCAAGGCAGGAGAUGCAUCUAUUUUAAGAUGCUUUGGAGCAGACAGCUUUAGCCGUUCCCAAUCCUUAGCAAUGCCUUAGCUGGGACGCAUAGCUAAUACUUUAGAGAGGAUGACAGAUCCAUAAAGAGAGUAAAGAUAAGAGAAAAUGUCUAAAGCAUCUGGAAAGGUAAAAAAAAAAAAAAAAUCUAUUUUUGUACAAAUGUAAUUUUAUCCCUCAUGUAUACUUGGAUAUGGCGGGGGGAGGGCUGGGACUGUUUUGUUUCUGCUUCUAGAGAUUGAGGUGAAAGCUUCGUGCGAGAAACGCCAGGACGGACGAUGGCAGAGGAGAGGGCUCCUGUGACGGCGGCAAGGCUUGGGAGGAAACCGCCGCAACAGGGGCGUCUUCCUUGGGGGCAGGAGGGUGGGCCUGAGGCUUUCAAGGGUUUUCUUCCCCUUUCGAGUCAUUUUUAAAGCCUCACUCUGUUGCGUCCUGUUGCCGGCCUCCCUGCGACUGUGACUGAAACGCUUCCCCGUACGAUUGUCUCUGAAACAUCGCGGCCGCAGGUGCCACGGUUUGACGGACAGUGACGUUAGAACGGUGGAAGAGAAGCACGCAAAGGGAGCGACGUGAGAGGAGAAACAAAAUAUGAGCGUUUAAAAUACAUCGCCGUUCAGUUCA